rnacentral:rRNA from 1 species
GACGAACGCUGGCGGCGUGCCUAAUACAUGCAAGUCGAACGCUGAAGGAGGAGCUUGCUUCUCUGGAUGAGUUGCGAACGGGUGAGUAACGCGUAGGUAACCUGCCUGGUAGCGGGGGAUAACUAUUGGAAACGAUAGCUAAUACCGCAUAAUAGUAGAUGUUGCAUGACAUUUGCUUAAAAGUUUCAAUUGCAUCACUACCAGAUGGACCUGCGUUGUAUUAGCUAGUUGGUGAGGUAACGGCUCACCAAGGCGACGAUACAUAGCCGACCUGAGAGGGUGAUCGGCCACACUGGGACUGAGACACGGCCCAGACUCCUACGGGAGGCAGCAGUAGGGAAUCUUCGGCAAGGGACGGAAGUCUGACCGAGCAACGCCGCGUGAGGGAAGAAGGUUUUCGGAUCGGAAAGCUCUGUUGUAAGAGAAGAACGAGUGUGAGAGUGGAAAGUUCACACUGUGACGGUAUCUUACCAGAAAGGGACGGCUAACUACGUG